rnacentral:rRNA from 1 species
GAACGACGCUGGCGGCAGGCCUAACACAUGCAAGUCGAGCGCGCCCUUCGGGGUGAGCGGCGGACGGGUUAGUAACGCGUGGGAACGUACCCUUUGGUAGGGAAUAGCCACUGGAAACGGUGAGUAAUACCCUAUGAGCCCUUCGGGGGAAAGAUUUAUCGCCAAAGGAUCGGCCCGCGUUAGAUUAGGUAGUUGGUGGGGUAAUGGCCUACCAAGCCUACGAUCUAUAGCUGGUUUUAGAGGAUGAUCAGCAACACUGGGACUGAGACACGGCCCAGACUCCUACGGGAGGCAGCAGUGGGGAAUCUUGGACAAUGGGGGCAACCCUGAAUCCAGCCAUGCCGCGUGAGUGAAGAAGGCCUUAGGGUCGUAAAGCUCUUUCGCCUGUGAAGAUAAUGACGGUAGCAGGUAAAGAAACCCCGGCUAACUCCGUGCCAGCAGCCGC